rnacentral:rRNA from 1 species
AUUGAACGCUGGCGGCAGGCCUAACACAUGCGAGUCGAGCGGAGAUGAGGUGCUUGCACCUUAUCUUAGCGGCGGACGGGUGAGUAAUGCUUAGGAAUCUGCCUGUUAGUGGGGGACAACAUUCCGAAAGGAAUGCUAAUACCGCAUACGCCCUACGGGGGAAAGCAGGGAAUCUUCGGACCUUGCGCUAAUAGAUGAGCCUAAGUCGGAUUAGCUAGUUGGUGGGGUAAAGGCCUACCAAGGCGACGAUCUGUAGCGGGUCUGAGAGGAUGAUCCGCCACACUGGGACUGAGACACGGCCCAGACCCCUACGGGAGGCAGCAGUGGGGAAUAUUGGACAAUGGGCGGAAGCCUGAUCCAGCCAUGCCGCGUGUGUGAAGAAGGCCUUUUGGUUGUAAAGCACUUUGAGCGAGGAGGAGGCUACCUGGAUUAAUACUCUAGGAUAGUGGACGUUACUCGCAGAAUAAGCACCGGCUAACUCUGUGCCAGCCGCCGCUGUAAAAC